rnacentral:rRNA from 1 species
CGCUUUUGCGGAUUUCUUCGGAUUGAAGCAACUGUGACUGAGCGGCGGACGGGUGAGUAACGCGUGGGUAACCUGCCUCAUACAGGGGGAUAACAGUUGGAAACGGCUGCUAAUACCGCAUAAGACCACAGCACCGCAUGGUGCGGGGGUAAAAACUCCGGUGGUAUGAGAUGGACCCGCGUCUAAUUAGCUAGUUGGUGGGGUAACGGCCUACCAAGGCGACGAUCAGUAGCCGACCUGAGAGGGUGACCGGCCACAUUGGGACUGAGACACGGCCCAAACUCC